rnacentral:rRNA from 1 species
GAUGAACGCUGGCGGCGUGCCUAAUACAUGCAAGUCGAGCGAAUGACGAGGAGCUUGUUCCUCUGAUUUAGCGGCGGACGGGUGAGUAACACGUGGGUAACCUGCCUGUAAGACGGGGAUAACUCCGGGAAACCGGAGCUAAUACCGGAUGAUAACGAGAAGCGCCUGCUUCUUUUUUGAAAGUCGGUUUCGGCAGACGCUUACAGAUGGGCCCGCGGCGCAUUAGCUAGUUGGUGAGGUAACGGCUCACCACGGCGACGAUGCGUAGCCGACCUGAGAGGGUGGUCGGCCACACUGGGACGGAGACACGGCCCAGACUCCUACGGGAGGCAGCAGUAGGGAAUCUUCGGCAAUGGACGAAAGUCUGACCGAGCAACGCCGCGUGAGCGAUGAAGGCCUUCGGGUCGUAAAGCUCUGUUGUCAGAGAAGAACAAGUACCGGAGUAACUGCCGGUACCUUGACGGUACCUGACCAGAAAGCCACGGCUAACUACGUGCCAGCCGCCGCAGUAAAAC